UAGAGUUUGAUCCUGGCUCAGAACGAACGCUGGCGGCAUGCCUAACACAUGCAAGUCGAACGAAGUCUUCGGACUUAGUGGCGCACGGGUGAGUAUCAUGUGGGAAUCUACCUAAAGGUUCGGGAUAACUGCGGGAAACUGUAGCUAAUACCGGAUGUGUCCGAAAGGAGAAAGAUUUAUCGCCUUUAGAUGAGCCCGCACUAGAUUAGUUUGUUGGUGGAGUAAUAGCCUACCAAGACUAUGAUCUAUAGCUGAUUUGAGAGGAUGAACAGCCACACUGGGACUGAGACACGGCCCAGACUCCUACGGGAGGCAGCAGUGGGGAAUAUUGGACAAUGGGGGAAACCCUGAUCCAGCAAUGUCGCGUGAGUGAAGAAGGCCUUCGGGUUGUAAAACUCUUUCAGCAGUGAAGAUAAUGACUGUAACUGCAGAAGAAGCUCCGGCUAACUCCGUGCCAGCAGCCGCGGUAAUACGGAGGGAGCUAGCGUUGUUCGGAAUUACUGGGCGUAAAGGGCGCGUAGGCGGACUAAAAAGUUAGACGUGAAAUACCUAAGCUCAACUUAGGAACUGCGUUUAAAACUAUUAGUCUUGAAUGCGGGAGAGGGUAGAAGAAUUUUCAGUGUAGAGGUGAAAUUCGUAGAUAUUGGAAAGAAUACCAGUGGCGAAGGCGACUACCUGGACCGACAUUGACGCUGAGGCGCGAAAGCGUGGGUAGCAAACAGGAUUAGAUACCCUGGUAGUCCACGCAGUAAACGAUGAGAGCUAGUCGUUGGAACUUUAAGUUUCAGUGUCGUAGUUAACGCGUUAAGCUCUCCGCCUGGGG
rnacentral:rRNA from 1 species